GAGGGUAUAGCUCAGUGGUAGAGCACAUGUUUACCAUGAACGAGGCCCUGGGUUCAAUCCCCAGUACAUCCA
rnacentral:tRNA from 1 species